GAUGAAGAACGUAGCGAAAUGCGAUAAGUAAUGUGAAUUGCAGAAUUCAGUGAAUCAUCGAAUCUUUGAACGCACAUUGCGCCCGCCAGCAUUCUGGCGGGCAUGCCUGUUCGAGCGUCAUUUCAACCCUCGAGCCCCCCUUGGGGGGCCCGGCGUUGGGGACCGGCACUAACACUGCCGGCCCCGAAAUGGAGUGGCGGCCCGUCCGCGGCGACCUCUGCGUAGUAACUCAACCUCGCAUCGGGACCCGGGCGCGGCCACGCCGUAAAACACCCAACUUUCUGAACGUUGACCUCGAAUCAGGUAGGAAUACCCGCUGAACUUAAGCAUAUCAAUAAGCGGAGGA
rnacentral:misc_RNA from 1 species